AACACACUAUGGCUAUUAAGUAGCGUUUGUUCGUAUGGUUCAUACGAACAAACCUACCGAACGGCGCCCCCCUGACAUUUGUGUGAAGGAAUCAGGCCGAUUUUAGUUCCAUGUGAUCGAUGCCCAAACACCGCUGCCUGCAUUCCAGCUAACAAGAUGGCCGCAAACACAGUUCCCACGUGUUCGGGCAUAUGAACGGCGGCCACCGAUCCACACAAUUAGAACACACGAUAAUUGAAGUGUCAGGAGAGGUUACUAGGGGUUAACAAGCCCAGAGGUAGUCCGCAGUUCAUGAGUUGGUUCGGUUCCCGAAAAGUACACAUAAAUCCCACGAACUAAGUCUGUUUGUAAGCCUUUUCCAUGGACCAUAGUCAGUGGGCAGAAGGCUAGCUUCCACACUCCUCCAAGAGGCCGUGGCGAACGUCCAGGCCAAGUGGCGUUCGUCACAGUGGCCUUUUGGAAUGGCUUCAAGGUCAGCCUCUUGUCUUGGCCACAGACUAUGGAUCUGGUCCCAAGAGCCCCUGAAAGAGGGUUGUGAUGGAAGCAAUUGAAAAACAUACUAUUCAUUGUUACUUGAUAACUCUGCAGCGCCCUCUGCUGACUGAAUAGAAGUGUGUACAUGUACAUAAUGCUGGUAUGCAAAUUAGGGUAACCAAAUGAGUAGUUAAAUGUAUAUAUUGUUGCUUUUUGUUGUGUUUGAAAAUGUUACUUGUAUUAUAUCGUUCAUGUAUUAAAUAUAUUUGCUUGUUCUCUUAUGUGCUAUAUAUUUGUAUGUUAAAUGUCUGUCACAUCAUGUUUAAAAACUAGUCCCCAAAGGCUAGAAUUGUGUGUUAGUGUCUUUGAAU